UAGAAAGCAAGGCCAACAAAAUACCUAAAGUGAUUUCAGCAGUCUCCUCUGAUGAUUAUACUGAGAGAGGCAAGAUACGGACUGUUUAUUUCAUUUUUUGAUGUAGUAGAUUGUAUUUGCCAAAAAUCAUCAAAAUAUACAAGUUUACAUGUAGUUUUCCUUUUUUAACCUUUAAUGUUAUAAAGUUAUAACUCAAGUACUGUAGUAUUCAAAAGGUUGUGAGCCAUCACAGUAACCAUUUCUAGAAUGCUAUAUUCUGAAUGAUUGAUUGUCUGCACCUAAAUUCAUAUUGAAGUUUGUUCUUAAAUGAGGCAGUAUUGGGUGCGGUGGGUCCCUUAAGAGUUAUUUAGGUGAUGGGGCUGUGUUCUCAUGAAUAGACUAAUUUUUUUUUUUAAUUUUAGGAAUGGAUUUGCUAUAGAAGAAGUUGUGUGCUUUCAUCUCUGCUACCUCACCAGAAAUCAAGAAGAUGCUGGCACGAUGCUACUAGACCUCUGAGCCAUGAACCAAAGUAAACCUUUUUGUUUGUUUACAUUAUAGUCUUAGAUAUUUUGCAAUAAGGAAUGGAUUAAAACAUAGGACCCACCCCAUACUGUUAACAUCUCUUCCCCCUUCUCUAUUCCCUUGUCAUUCAUGUAAUUAUCUUCUUUUAUUUACGGAUUUGUGGAUUCUAUGCAUUUUAUGUAAAUAGAAUCGUAUACUGGUUCCUUUUGUUUCUGGCUUCUUUCAGAUAGUAUAAUGAUUUUCAGUUUUCAUCCAUCUUGAAGUAUAUAUCAGUACUUUUAUGGCUGAAAAAUAUUUCAUUAUGUGGAUAUACUACCACAUUUGGUUUAUAUAUUCAUUAGUUGAUGGACAUUUGGGGCUGCUGAUAGUCUUUGGCUAUUAUGAAUAAUGCUGCUUUGUACAUGUAUGUACAAGUUUCUGUAAACGCAUAUUUUCAUUUCUCUUUGGUAUGUACCCAGGAGUGAAAUCACUUGAUCAUGUUUAACUUUUUGAGGAAAAGCCAAACUGUUUUCUGUAACAGCUGUACCAUUUUGCAUUCCCACCAGUUUCUCCACAUCUUUCUCAACAUGUAUUACAUGUCAUUUUUUAAAAAUGGCUUUUAAUAUAUUGGAGAAUGUAUUGCCUAAUCCAAAGUCACAAUAACUUAUUCCUAUGCUCUCUUACAGGAGUUUUAUAGUUUUAGCUCUUACCCUGGGAUUUUGAUUCAUUUUUGCUGAUUUUUGUAUACAGUAGGAUGUCAGAGUUGAAAUUCAUUCUUUUGUAUGUGGAUAUCCAAUUGUCCCAGCAACAUUUCCUGAUAAUACUCUUUUCCCACUCAAUUAUCUUGGCAUCCUUGUCAAAAAUUAAGUCACUGUGUAUGUGUGGGUUUAUCUCUGGAUUCUUUUUUAAAAAAUAUUUAUUUUUUAGUUAUAGGUGGACACAAUAUCUUAUUUUACUUUAUGUGGUGCCGAGAAUCGAACCCAGUGCCUCACACAUGCUAGGCGAGUGCUCUACCUGUGAACCACAACCCCAGCCCUCUCUGGAUUCUUAAUUCUGUUCCAUUGAUCAAUAGGUCUGUCUUUAUGCCAGUGCCACACUGUCUUGAUUACUGGAGCUUAGUAAUAAUUUCUGAAGUUCAAAAGUAUAAGUCCUUCAACCUGGUUUUCUGUUUCAAGAUUACUUAACCUGCGUUGGGUUGCUGGAAUUUCCAUAUUCAUUUUAGAAUCAGCCUGUCAAUUUCUGCAAAAACUGUAGUUGGAAUUUUGAUACAGAUUACACUGAAUAUGUAUAUCAACUUUGGAAAUAUUGUCAUUUUAUUAUUCAGUUUUCCAAUCCAUGAACUCAGAUGUCUUUCCAUUUAUUUAAGUCAUCUUUAAUGUCUUUCAACAGUGCUUUGUAAUUUUCAGUGUACAACUUUUACACCUCCUUGGUUAAAUUAAUUUCCUAUGUAUUUUAUUCUUAUGAUUCUGCUGUAGCUGAAAUUGUUUUCUUAAUUAUUUGUUUGCAUUGCUCAUUGCUAGUAUAUAAAAAUACAAUUGAUUUUUGUAUAUUGGUCUUCCAUCUUGUGGCCUGAAUCUGAAGUCCUGUAUUAUACUAAAAAUAAAAUAUAGGAAUAAUACAACUGAAGUCCAGCUCAACUAAUGAAAAUAUUGAUUCAGAUACCAACACUCAUGAUGCCCUGACAGAAAAAUACAAUAAAGAAGGCAUACUACAGAAGAACAAAUUUAAGGUCAUCAGAUUUUUCAUCAGAAUCUAUGUAACCCAGAAUUUUGUUUUUUGCCAGGGAUUG
rnacentral:lncRNA from 1 species